rnacentral:snRNA from 1 species
AUACUUACCUGGCAGGGGAGAUACCAUAAUCAAGAAGGUGGUUCACCCAGGGUGAGGCUAUGCCAUUGCACUCUGAAGUGGGGAUGCUCCAUACAGAAGUGUAAUUGAAUCUUGCGUGAUUGUUCAAAAGUUUACAACUCUGGA